ACAAUCCACCCCCCUUCGGGAGUCCGACGCCCUCGUCGGCACACUCGCACCACACGGCAGAGUGGCUCUGAUACCAUUUGUCACACCCCAGGACCCAUUCCGCCGUAACACGAUAUUGUCCGCUUUGGGCCCACCGGCCCUCACGGUUUUGUUUCCGGCAGCUCAGGAGCAGCUUCCUAGUAGGUCACCCAUCUUGGGAUUGCUCUAGCAUCAACAUGCUUAACCUCGGAGUACCCAUCCCCUCCGAAGCCGCUGAGCCACCAAAAGGCCUCGUGUUAGAUUGGAGGUGGGCAUGUAUAUAUACAGCACAUAACCCCUCUCCGUUUGGCCGAUGUGGGAUAUUACAAUAAAAAAUUUGGACCAUUUCUAGAUUUAUGCGUGUCAUCCUUGCGCAGGGGCCAUGCUAAUCUUCUCUAUAUCGUUCCAAUUUUAUCGGAUGUCCACGUAACACGAUAUUGUCCGCUUUGGGCCCACCGGCCCCCACGGUUUUGUUUCCGGCAGCUCAGGAGCAGCUUCCCAGUAGGUCACCCAUCCUGGGAUUGCUCUAGCAUCAUCAUGCUUAACCUCAGAGUACCCAUCCCCUCCGAAGCCGCUGAGCCACCAAAAGGCCUCGUGUUAGAUUGAAGUUGGGCAUGUACAUAUACAGCACAUAACCCCUCUCUGUUUGGCCGAUAUGGGAUAUUACAGUUUAAUUCAUAUAAGGGGUAUGGACACAUAUUUAUACACCCGUCUGUCCACCUUGAUGGCGUAGUGUAGCACCGCAUUAAGGCGUGACGUGAGCGUUGGACGCGAGCGUAGUAGCCCUAUAUAGACCCAUGAAUUUAUAUAGGGAGUAUGGACGAGUGUAAAUACAUACAUAUAUUAUAGAGUCUGAGAGGCUCGAUAUUUUAUGAGAUAAAAGUUUUAUCGCUUGCGGCAUGCAUUCGAUUUUUCCUUAGAAAUUAAUUUGGGGAAACAUAAAUAUUUUAUUUAUUAUUUUAUUUUUUGUCCACUCACUCUAACGUUAUUAAAUGUUUUCCCCUGGGCCCUUCGUUUUAAAUUGCCCAGUCUGCAGAGUUCGGGUUGGAUCUAGUAGGAGGGGAGGCAUAGUCACCCGCAUUUCUGCCAGUUUUCGUUAGUAGGUUACUUGUUCAACCUACUCGUGUUUUCUUGCUUCCGCUAGUGUUUAGUAGCUCUGAAUACUUUGGGAUUAUUGUAUAUUAUGUGUAGAAUUUCUGAAGGAUAAUUAUGUGAUGUUUGGAAGUGCUAAAUUAAGAGUGUAAUUUGGAAUUUUCGAGUUAGGGUUGUCUAUCUGCAAGGGAGAUUUUCUUAAUCUUUUCAGUAAAUUUUCCUUGGAGGUGGUCCUCGCACGACUUACUCCGGGUUUUAGGGUGAAAUUUGGGGUGGGUCGUGUCAUUGACUAUGCCUUUUCUCCAUGUACGCCCGACCUCAACUAUACUAACCUGCAUACUAGGCAUUUUUGAAACGAAGGGCCCAAGGGAAAACAUUUGAAAUUGUUAGAGUGAGUGGACAAAAAUGAAUUUAAUGAAAAAUGUCACGCCCCGGUUCUUAAGUUAUUUUACGGUUAUUUACUUUAGUAUUAUUUUGGUCUUUUACCGUGUUAAGUAACCGGUUACCCCUUAAGGACCCUAAAGUUGACUUUCUUUUCCGUUUGGAUUUUGGGGAAACUUUCUUCAUGAAAGUUGUAGAGGACGUUAAUACGAGUUCGUAGACAUGCUAUGUGUUAAAAUCGGAGUUAGCAUGAAAAAGUUAUUAUUAAAAGAGUAAAUUUUGAGUUAGAAAAGGGGCGUAAUUAUUAAUGGGUAUUAUUUUUUGGUCGGGUUUAUAGCUGGGCCGGCUGUGGAGAAGCCCAAAACCCUCACCCCUCAUUUCCUCUCUCUCCCUCUCUCCCUCACCCGUCACUUUCUCUCCCUCCCUCACCCGUGCAACUUGACCGCCGGAGAAGAGCCUCUGUCCGCUGCCGUCCGGCCGCCAGGGACCGCCGGACCACCUCUACCUGGACCCCCCGCCACCUCCUCUCCCUCCCCGGCCUAGCCCCCGAGCCGUUAGCCCGCUGGAAGAGGAGAAAACCCGCCGGAGACGCCGGGAAGCUUUUCGUCGGAAAUCCCACCUUCGGCCGCCAUAAGUCGAAAUCUUUAACUCAUCUUGUAGCCCUCAUCAAGGUGAGUAAUCCCUCAAAAGGAAUUAGUCUAUCUCGUUGUGGUUAUAGAGAAAUGUAUAAUUGAAGUUUUAGGGAUUUAUGGAUGUUUUGGUUCGAUUGCCCUAGUUAGCCUUAGAAAUGGACUAAGUGCUAGUUAUGAAUGUUGUUGAGCAUGAUGAGAGGAAUAUUCUGUGAAAAUUUGAGAAGUAUUGGAGGUCUCCGGAAAACGGCUGCCGGCCGCCGCCACCGGCAGGGCAGCUGCCGCCGCCGCCCCUUAAGGGCAGUUUUUCCUGUUUUUGAGAUGGUUUUAAUAAGAGGAGUUUAUUGAAAUAUAGUUUGGAAUUUUUGGAUGAGUUUUGGUUUGGUUUGGAAUUUUUCGGAGAUUGGAGAAAAGGCCGGUUAUUAGAAUGAAAAUCCGGCCGUUGGAUUUCCUUGGUAUUUAUUAUAGAAUGUUAGAAUUGAUGAAUUAAGGUUGUGGUGGAGUUUGGUGUGAAUCCGGCAAGUUUAACCCUAUUAAGAGUAGAGGGUUAAACGGAGGAGAGUUAGAUAUUUUAAUUCACGUAUUUAUUUUCUAGAAUUGAAGUUUGGUUCUAAGCAUGGUUGUUGUACCAGGAUGCGAAGGGAACCUCGCUUGAGUGGCGUUGCGGUUAUCGUCGGGCUUAUGCCCAAAUUUCUGAGUGGACAUUUUGGUUUUAAAAAUAAAUAUGCAUGCAAGAUUUUAUAAUCUAUCAUUUUAUUUUCCGAGCAUAUAAUAUAAUUUUUCAGUUCAUGAGAUGAGCUUGAAAAUUAUUUGAGUUUGGUGCAUUUAUUAAGUGUUGGUCAUGAUUUAUGGAGUUGAGCUCGGAUUAUUAUUUUGAUAUUUGAGUUUGGAUAUUUUUAUAAAUUCCGGAUUUCAUUAAAUGGUUUUAAUGGUGGAUUUUGAGAUUUAUAUAAGAUUUCCGAAAAUGGGAUUUUCGGUAGUUUCCUAUUUUUAAUUCUCGAAAUUAUUGGUGGAAUAUCGAUCUUGACUUUGAGUUUUAUAAAUGAUUACCGAAAAUGGGAUUGUCGGUAGUUCUCCUCAUAAUUUAAUUGUUCAUUUGAGGCAUAAUGAUUUUGACUUGGAGAAUAUUUUAGCGAGUAUUUCGGGCGUAGAUACUAUUAUUUAUGAUUCAUAUUUGUUAUUGAAAUCUCGCUUAUAUUUAUAAAUUGGAGAAUAUUUUGACGUGUGAGACACGUCAUUGAGUUGUGUUAUGAUUUCUUCUGAUGAUUUUCAUGUACGGUUGGGAACCGUACCAUUCGUUUGGUCUUGGGGGAAGUUUAAUGGAUUUAAGUGACUUCGUAUGUUUUAGUCACCAUAUUAUAGGGUCGUUUAUCUUAAUUAUUGCUAGCUAAUCUUAUUGGCGGUCCUCAUCAUAUGUGAGUCGCUAUUAUAGCCUUAUUAGCGGUCUUCUUCAUAUGUGAGUAGAGCGCUUAGCAUGGGACGCUAUUAUAGCUUGGGAGGCAACCGAUCGGUAUUUAUAUUUAUUAGUUAGCUAGCCUUAUUAGCGGUCCUCAUCAUAUGUGAGUUGAGCACUUAGCGUGGGACGCUAUUAUAGCCUUAUUUAGUGGUCCUCAUCAUAUGUGAGUUGAGCGUUUAGUGUGGGACGCUAUUAUAGCCUAGGAGGCAUCGACCUGAGCCUGGGAGGCUCCUUUUUCAUGGUGAUAACUCUUCCCCUAUUUUAUUCUUCUCAAUAAUAUAUUUGAUUAACCAGCGGGGCUGGUUUAUCUCCUCUUAUGAGAUUUAUGUUUUAACUAACCAGCGGGGCUGGUUUGUCCUUUAUUAAGUGAUUUUGGAUUUAAAGUUUUAAGGACGUUUAAGUUGCAUGUUGUUAAGUUUUAAAAGUUGAAAAGUGGGAAAGUAUAUAAGUUUUAUAAUUGUUAAGUUACUGAAUUUAUUUUCGUCCACUCACUCUAACAUUUUUAAAUUAUUUUCCCCUAGGCCAUUUGGUUUAUAAAUGCCCAGUUUGCAGGCUAAGUUAUUUGAGGACGAGCGUACAUGGAGUCGAGGCAUAGUCAGAGGCUGUUUCCGCUUAUUCAUUUUCAUUGUUUUCAUUCAUCAUUAGAUAUGCUCUGAAAGUCCAAUAAUAGCUUAUUAAAUGUCUUUGUUGUUGAUUGUGGAAUUAUUAUUAGAUGAGAAAUUGUUAUUGGGAGUUUUGAUGAACUUGGGGAGCAUGAAGGCUCCAGGAGACGAGGAUGGAUGUUUGUUUAUAGAAGUGUUAAGUUGGAUUUUUCAGGAAAGGGUUGUCCAUUUUCAAGGAAGGUUAUGCCGAAUUUUCGGUAAAUUUUCCUUGAAGGUGGACCCUGCAGGAUUUACCUCGGGUUUCAGGAUGAAAUUCGGGGUGGGUCCUGACAAAAAAUAUUUACGCUUUCCUAGUUUAAAUUUCCAUAGAAAAUAUACUGCAUGCGACAGCUCAAAAGCUCUCAACUCAUCAAUUGGCAAUUACAUGACUAGCUCCGGCUAGUCUCCAAACUUAAUAAAAUAAAGCCUCUCAGGCUAAAAUAAUAUAUAUAUAUAUAUAUAUAUGUAUUUACACUCGUCAUACUCUUUGUACGAAUUCCAUGAAGGAAUAAGAAAAAUAGAAAUUCAUACAAGGCUACUACGCUUGUGUCUAACAUUCACGUCACACCGUAAUUGGAUUUUACCUCAUUAUGGCGGAAAAGCACGAGUGUAUAUAUACGUGCAUAUUCCCUAUAUAAAUUACUAAAUUUAUAUAGGGCUAUGACGAUUGUGUCUAACGCUCACGUCACACCAUAAUAGAAUUUUACCUCAUUAUGGCGGAAAAGCACGUAUAGCUAGCUAGCAUUUAUUUAUAUGCAUACUAUCCUCAUAAUCAUCCAUAUACAUAUGCACCGAAAAUCUCAUUUUCAGUAACUCUCCAGAAAGAAUGAAAAUUGCCAAUUAUAAAAGACGCAAUAAAUAUAUGACUCCACCGAAAAUCUCAUUUUCGGUAACUUUCCAAAUAGCGAAGUUAACAAAUAAAAUAAGAGCAUUUACUUCCAAAAAUAACUUCGCGAAAAUAAACAAUUCCACAAAUUGAUAUUCAAUAAAAUCACCGCAUGCUUAUAAUUUAAAACGAACGUCCACUCACAACUUUAGGGAUAAGCCCGACGAUAUCCAAUUUGCUACUUAAGUGAGGUCUCCUCGAAUCUUGGCACAAUAACCAUGCUUAGGACCAAACUUCAAUUUCAGAAAAAAUAAUUCUUAAAUAUAUCACCCAAAACUCUUCCGCCUAGUCCACUACCCUUUCUAGGGUUAAGCUUAUUGGAUUGACGCCAAACUCCACCCAAAGCCUCAAUUCAUUCAUUUCAACAUUCUAAAACAAUAAUAAGGGAAAUCCAACGGUCAGAUUCUACCCCAUUAACCGCCAAAUUCACCAAUCUUUCAAAAAUCUCAAACCUAUCCAAAACUCCUCCAAAAAUUCCAAACUUCACAUCAUUAAACUCCCCUUAAUAUUACACAUUUAAAACCAUGAAAAUCCCCCUAGGGUCGUCUGCUCCGUCGGCAGCAGCGGCCGGCGACUGACUCUGGAGACCCCCAAUGCCUACUAAAUUUUAACAGCUUCAUCCUCUCAACACGCUCUACAACUUUCCUAACUAGCACCAAGACCAAUUUCAAGCUUAACUAGGCCAAUCGAACAAAAACUUACAAUAAAACCCUAGAACUUCAAACACUUGAAUCUCCUUACCUAGGCCAAGAGGGAGUGAAACCUUUGGAGGGAUGAAUGCACGGGAGAAGAGCUUCCUUUUGAGCUAAGUAGCUUCGGCUAUGGCAGCCGGAGGAGGAAGUUCCGGCGACGGAACACCACGGACAGCCCGAGCUUCCAAGCGCGAUUUCUCUUUCACAGCGGCGCUAGGGAGGCUGCCACCGGUCCAAGAAGGAAGAGGAGAUGAUGGCCGACCGUUUGUGACCGGUACGGUGACCUACGGUGGCCGAACGACAGCGGAUUGACGACGGGAAAAUCCGGUAGGAAAGAGGGAGGGCGUCGGGAGGAAAGAGAGAGAGAAGAGAGAAGAAAAGUGUUAGGCUUUUCCCAACCGGUUUCUACCGAAACCAAAUAUAAACCCAACUCCAAAAUAACACCACCAAAAUAAUACCCUAAUAAAAAUUACCUUUUUACUAGCUAAAAUUUACUAUUUUACCGUCAUCAAAUAUUUCUUCUACGAAUCAUUCCUCCGAAAAAAUCGCUCCUCAAAACCCCUCUAGGGACCUUUGAAACUAUAAACUCAUUUAUGAAGACGGUAAAACUCUUAUUAAUACCAAGCUAGUAAAUAAGGUAAAAAUUUAAGAGUCGGGAUGUGACAUGUCUUGUCCGGACCCGUCCCGGAUUUCACCUUGAAACUCGAAGUAAAUCCUGUGGAGUCCACCUCUGAGGAAAAUUUACCGAAAAUUCGGCAUAACCUCCCUUAAAAAUAGACAACCCUUCCUAAAUAAAAACACCUGCAAACACUUCUAAAAGUUCCAACUCCAACCUUAUAACUCCUGGAGCCUUCGUGCUCCCCAAAACACAACAUCUCCCAAUUUAUUUACUAACUUUAACACUUAAAAUCUCACAACCAACAAUCACAGUUCAGAGCAACUCUAUUAGAGGAGAAAAGAACUAGAAAUAUAGAAAUGAGCAGAAGCUAUACUAUUAACUAUGCCUCUUCUCCAUGUACGCUGGACCUCAAUUAUGCUAACCUGCAUACUGGGCAUUUUUAAAAUAAAGGCCCAGGGGAAAACAUUUGCAAACGUUACAGUGAGUGGACAAAAAUGAAUUCAAUAAAAAUUAUUUAUGCAUUCCCAAUUUAAUUUUCAUAGAAAAUAUGCUGCAUGCGACAGCUCAAAGCUUUCUACUCACAAACUGGCAAAUACAUGACUAGCUCCGGCCAGUCUCCAAAACUCAAUAAAAUGGAGCCUCUCAGGCUAAACUAUAUAUAAAUAUAUAUGUGUAUGUAUUUACACUCGUCAGACUCCUUGUACGAAUUCUAUGAAUAAAAUAGAAAAAUAGAAAUUCAUACAAGGCUACUACGCUUGGGUCUAACGAUCACGUCACACCAUAACGGAAUUUUACCUCAUUAUGGCGGAAAAGCACGAGUGUUUAUACGUGUAGACUCCCUAUAUGAAAACCUAUAUGAAUCGGAUAAGAAAGUAGUUUUCAUAUAGGGCUAUGAUGCUUGUGUCCAACACUCACGUCACGCCGUAAUAGAAUUUUACCUCAUUAUGAUGGACCAAGCACGUAUGGCUAGCUAGCAUUUAUAUACAUACUAUACUCAUAAACAUCCAAUAUACAUAUCCACCGAAAAUCUCAUUUUCGGUAACUCUCCAAAAGAUGAAAAUUGCCAAAUAUCAAAAAAAGCAAUAAAUUUCAGCAGAAGAAUAACUGAUCAACAAUAGAAUGCAUCGCAUGCUUUUAAUUAAAACAAAAGUUCACUCACAGUGAUUCUGUUGCAUUUGCUGUCAAGACAAGACAACGAAGACGAGCUCGGAAAAUCCUCCUAUUCUUUUUCGAUUUAACCCCCUUCUUUCACUUCUAAGAAUGCACAGUAAAGUCCCUAAUAAAAACUAAAGGGUAAGAGAACAAUAUAACCAACUCCCCUUCAUAACCAUUGAAACCAAUUCUCUUAUAUCCUUUUAAUUAAACAAACACACACAUGACUCCCAAAACAAUAAUACCCUUAACUACCAUUUAACUUAGGAGAUUCACCUCUCGGUCAAAAUGGCAAAUGCACCCAAAAUACUCUUUGCAUUCAGAAGUUUUCAUUGUGCACCCAAACCUUUCCUCUAGUCCAAGCCUACAUGCAACCCCACAAUUCCAUAAUUAUAUUCAAAACUCACAACACAAUUCCGAAUUCAAUAGCCGAGAAUUAAAACCUUCUCACCUUGCGGUUUCAAAAGAUUAACACACGGUGCUCCUCCAAUUACUCUUUGCACCCAAAGUGGAAAUUAGCAUCCAACACCAAUCUUCAUUUGCUACACUGCCCUCCACCAAAACUAAACCCAAUAAUAACAUUAACUCCAUCUCCCUAUCCAACACCAAUCUUUCUAACUGUUAAUUUGCUGCCACCUAUUAAUGUAAAAACACUUGAAGUUUAUCUUCCAGUGCCAGUAGUUGUUUUUAAACUUGAUGCCCAAGUUUAAGCUGCUCACUCGGCAGCUAUUUGCAACCCACAAGUCUGAUUGAGGUUUUCAGACUUUCACUUGUGAUUGGCUGCAUGUAGUCAUGUGUUAGGCAUAAGCUAGCAAGUAGGUGAACCAGCAUUUCAAAUAAGACAAAGCAGCAAUCCAAAUUAUUGUUAUUAUUAUUAUUAUUAUUUUUUUUUUAAGUUUGGGGUUUCACAGAACGUCACGGGGUUAAGACUUAACAUGGAUCUCCUGGAAGAGCGCCGCGACAGGGUACACCUCAGGAAUGUCAACUACAAACAAAAGAUUGCUCAACACUACACCAAGAAAGUUGUUCCCCGCCCCCUAAAGGUAGGCGAUUGGGUUAUGAAGGAAGUCAUUCCCCACCCCACUGGACUCAAAUCAAAGUGGGAAGGCCCUCUCGAGAUAGUCAAUGCCUCAGGACCAGCUACAUUCUAUCUCCGGGACACUGAUGGCUGAGUACUACCCCGCACCUGGAACGCUCUCCACCUCCACCUCUACCCCAUUUAAAUUAACAGACCCGGCAUAGUAGCUAGUACUUCAUUAUUGUGUACUUCAACCCGUUAGUGGCUCACAUUAAGUGUACACCUUGCCCAUUAGCGGCCUACCCUAAAUGAAGAUGUUAUGUUUUUUAUCAUUUUUAUAACAUACCGUAUCAAGAACACGAAACAACAAAGCAAACAGUAGUCCACAAACAAAAGCAUUCAUUAAAACAAAUAAGAAUCAACAUGGACUCCUAAGCAAUGCAUAAAAAACAAAUUGUUCAGAUGGCUAACAUUGUUUUACAAGCAAACAAAAGAAAGCAAAUAAACCUAACAAUAACAGCAAAUUACAAAGCAUCAUCAUUUCUCCCCAGAGGACGCGCCACUUGACUUAUUCACGCUUCUGCCACUCCUUGAACCGCUACCACACCCACGACUGUGGCUGAUAUUCACCGACACCCUCUGUCCAUAAGCAUGCUUAGAGCGGUCACGUGACGUUGGUGGAGGCCUCACUGAAACAUUAGGGCGCACCAGGGAACUCACUUGUUGCACCUCAGUGAUAGGGGACUUGCUCGCUGAGGUCUUUUGCACUUCAGAACGCGGUGGCGCCACAAGUCUAGGUGCUUGAGGGAUAGUUGGUUCAAUAACAGAGGAUGUGACCUGAGAUACCACCACUUGAGCAGAAGGGGAUCCCUCAGGACGCGAAGCCCUUAGUGGAGAAGCAACGAUCACCGCAAGUGGCUGAGGCGUACCCACAGUAGGAACUUCUUUUGGCACGGCAGAGGAUGUAGCGCGCUAGGCCUCAUGCUGCUUAGCCAGAGAUCAAGAGAUCUCAGCUUGCUUCCUUUGCUCUGAGGUCAUCUGUUCCCAAGCCUUCUUCGCCACAUCCCUCUCGGCAUACCACUUGCGGAUGGCCGCUUCAUUUAUCCAGCCAAUUUGGCACCAGUCUUGCUUAGCUCAUCUUGUCCCCGGUUAUAAGCGCUCCUCAGUUGCUGCUUACACACUUCACUCUCCCGAAACACCCUCUCCCCAGCCCCAGCAGCCCUUGCACACUUCAGCUUCCACACUCUCUCUUACUUCGCCAGGGCUUGCGUUAACCUCGCCACCUCAGCUUCCAGAGACACCGCCUUGGCAAUGGCCACCUCCCCAGCCUCCACCUGCUUGUUUUUCUCCUGCACAGCUUCCUUCAACUCAGCCACCUCCUUCCCAGAUGCAGCAGCCUGAUCUCGGAAGAUAGCAACAUCUUGCUCCAGACGCUGCGAGAGGGCUCGGUUAUUCUCUUCCGCCUCCCUCAACUGCUGGCAUUUAGCCUCGGCAUCCCCCUGCAAGUGAGCAACAACCCUCUCACUUGCAGCAUACAUCAGCAGCGUCGCCUGCAGACAGCACCAAAAUGUAAGCAAAAAGGCAGGGAACUAAAGGACAAAAUGACCAUUGUGCACACUUACCCGAGUUAGUUUCUCCUUGGCAAGAGCUACACAAGCUAGAGGAUCAAUCUCCUCCAUGCAUGGAUGUCACGAGAGCGGUGACACAUGUCAUAUGCCAUCUGAGCUAGGGAAGGCUGCACCUCCCCGGUCCCCUCUAGAGCUUGGGUGAUCUCGGCCAGGCUCCCCAAGCUCUUGGAACGCCCCUCCUUACGGGACUUCUUUGGUUGGCCUUCACGUGACGACUCGACCCUUUCUUUCCUCUUUCGGGUCCUUGUCAUGACAACCUCUUCUUACCCUUGCCCAAUGGGUUCCACCUCCUUCACCACAACAUCCUCGCCACCAGUUUGGGGCUCACCCACAUUACCCAAAGACGUAUCUUCCACUCCUACUGGCUCCGCAUAAGCUCUUCCUCCACCGGAACCUGCUCAUGAUAGUCCCCGUGGUCGCCACCCUCAGUGUCCGUUUCCUCGUCAUUCACCUCUUGAUCACCCAAGCCCAUAUAUUGCUUCUGCCACCAAGGGAGGCAAAUAAGCAUAAUCCUCGUCCGCCAGCUUCAACCUCAAAAAAUCAUCCUCACCCUCAUCCAGCUCCACCUCUUUCCUCUCGCUAGUCUCCAAGUCGAUAUCGUACCGCUUGACAUGAUCAACCUUGGCACGUAACCCAUCCAGUACGUCCUCAUCCGACACCUUGUCAUAAGGACCUUCCUUCUUCCGCGACCCACCGUCCCGAGGCAUUGUCACUACACCAAACAAAAGAUGAGGAUCAAGUAGAGACCAGAAAGCAUAACCGAAAUGACUAUAUAUGCCAAGGCAGCAUAUCCGAUACGAGCUCCUAGACUCGAAUGCCCACAGCACCCGGCGUAUUCGACGCUCCAUCAGCUCGGUUAAUUUAUACUCUUGGGGCAUGACUUGUAUACAAUUCAUGCAAGCGAACGUAUCGUUGUCAAGAUAGGGAAGUAUUUGUGCCCAAGUUAUCGUACCAUGGGGAUUAGUGGCUAACCCACAAUCCUAAGCUAAUCGGAACAAAAGUCACUAAGCAAACAAAGAAAAAGAAAAAAAAUACUACUCUAAAGCACCAAGCCUUAGCAAUGCUCGGCCUCAGUUAUCACCAAAGCCUAAUCAAUACUAAAUGCCUAGUGAUGGGUAAUUACAAUGAGUCGAUAUAUAAAAUGGAGAUUGAAUGGGGAAUUAACUAAAUUGACGAAAAACUAAAUAAAAAUAAACUACUAACUAAUGAACUAGAGAAUGAUGAGAACAUGGGAGUGUCGGGUGAUUCACACUAACUCAUAUGCAAACAUCGAUACCAAUUUCACAAAUGCAUAUCCUAUUGUAUCAAAUCCCGUAUCUAAUACCGGUUAAGGCUACUAGACCAAUUAUCCUUUCGGUGUAUCGAUUAUGCCGGUUAAGGCCACAAUCAACUCUCUAACAUGGGCAUUACAUCGGUUAAGGCCGUAACAUCCAAAUUAGAGGCCUAGAGUGCAAGAUAAUAGAGACCCAAGCAAGCUUAGCUACAAUCAAGCUAGCUAAUGGUUACCACACUUCAAAUCCUAGAUGCACAAGACUAAUAAGUUGUCAAUUUAUCAAUCUAUCCAUCAAAUUGUCCACAACAUAAUCUCAAAGGGUGACAAAACCUAGAAACAUAUUUCUAAGGACCAACACAUUCAGAUUCAAAGCAUACACAAUGUAAAUUGCAUUUAUAUCAAUCAAAGUACCAACAUUAUACAAAAUGAGUUUAGGGCUUCAAUACCCUAACUCCCAAAAUUAAAUCACUCACAACCCAUAGUCAAAUAGAUCAUCAAUAGCAUAUAAGUUAAAUAGCUAUCAUUCUAGCAUUGGUAUGGCGCCCUUUGAGGCUCUUUAUGGGAGGCAGUGUCGUACGCCUUUGUGUUGGAAUGAAGUAGGGGAAAAAGAGCUUUGUGGCCCAGAGUUAAUCCAUGUUACGAAUGAGAAGAUUAAAGUGGUUAGAGAUAGACUCAAGACUGCUCAGAGUAGGCAGAAGAGUUAUGCGGAUGUCCGUAGGAGAGAUCUUGAAUUUCAAGUGGGUGAUUGGGUGUUCCUGAAAUUAUCUCCUUGGAAAGGGGUUGUGCGUUUCGGUAAGCGUGGGAAGCUUAGUCCGAGGUAUAUUGGCCCUUAUGAGAUUAUAGAGCGAGUUGGCUCACUUGCUUAUCGAUUAGCUUUGCCUCCAGAGUUAUCCCGGAUACAUAAUGUGUUUCAUGUAUCCAUGCUUCGCAAAUAUAUUGCCGAUCCUUCUCAUGUGCUGCAAGAGCAGCCGAUCAGUUUAACGAGAGAUUUGACCUAUGAAGAGGAACCGGUUCAGAUUCUCGACCGAAAGGAGCAAGUGCUUAGGAAUAAGACAAUCCCGCUUGUCAAGGUUCUGUGGAGAAGUCAUCAAGUAGAAGAAGCUACUUGGGAAUCAGAGGAGCAAAUGAUGCAGCAGUAUCCGUAUCUCUUCGGAUGACAUGUAUGUUAAUUUCGAGGACGAAAUUUUUAUAAGGAGGGGAGAAUUGUCACAUCCCGACCCUUAUAUUUUUACCUUAUUUACUAGCGUGAUUAUUAUAAGAAUUUUACCGUCCCAGUCAUGGAGUAAAUAGUUUAAUUGGUCCCUAGAGGGGUUUCGGGGACGAUUAUGUGCGGAGGAUAAUUCGUAUGGGGAAAAUACGACGACGGUAAAAAUAGUAAAUUUUAGCUAGUAAAAGGUAAUUUUUAUUCGGGUAUUAUUUUUCGGGGUGUUUUUAUUUUUGGAAGUUUGGGUUAAGUGUUGUGGACUGGGUUGGGGUGAGGCCCAAAACCCUUUUUCUCUUCUCCCUCUCUCCCGAUUUUCUCUCCUCCCACCCGGUUUUCCCCUCUCUACACCCAGAAGAAUUUCCGGCCGUCCUUCCGCCGCCGUCCGACCUCCGUUCGCCGCCGGACCGGUCCCGUUCGGUCGGUCUCCCUCCCAGCAACAUUUCUAGACCGGUGAGAGGAGCCCUAGCUCCGCCGUGAGAGAGCGGUGCCACCCGAAAGCUCCGACUGCCGAAUCGGUUUUCUCGCCGGAACUUCCUCCUCCGGCCACCAAUCCGGGCAAGCUUGGUACGGUUUUGUAGCCCUCCUCCCGUGCAACAACCCCUCCAAACAGCUCCCUCCCUCUUGAGCUAGGUAAGGAGAAAUUUGAGGUGGAAGUUUUAUGGUGUUUAAGUUGUUUUCGUUCGAUUAGCCUAGUUAGGCUUGGAAUUGGGUGAUGUGUUAGUCAUGAAAGUUGUAGAGGAGAUUGAGAGGAAGAUUCUGUUAAAAUUUGGUAGCAUUUGCAGGUUGCCGGAAAACGGCUGCCGGCCGCCGCUGCCGGCGCCGGCGCCGGUUAGGAGAUUUUUAGGGUUUUAAAUGUGGAAUAUUAAGAGGAGUAUAUUGGUGUGAUUUAUGGAAUUUUUGGAUGAGAUUUGGUUAGGUUUGUGAAUUUCCGAAGUUUGGUAUUUUUGGCGGUUAAUUAAUGUAGAAUCCGGCCGUAGGAUUUAAGUCGUAUUUUGGAGAGGUUGUAUUUACGACUGUUGAGUAUGAUAUUUAAGUUCGGAUCGUUCCGAUGUAAGAAUAUCGAAGUUAGGCAAUGAUGAGCGUAAUUAUGGCUCUCGGGUAAUUUUGCCUAUUUUGAUUAAAUAUUGGAUUUUUUUGGUUGGGAAUUAAUAUUAUAUUUGGAACAGGACGUGAGGAGGCUCGAGCAGACGAGACCCCAGAUCGGCAUCAGGCUUAGGCCUAAUUUGUGAGUGGACGUUUAUUUUAAAUAAAUGCGUGCUAAAGUUCACGAUUGAAUAAUUAAUGUCGUGGAGUAUUUUGACGUCAUUUUAAUUUUUGACGAUUUUUAUUUCUCGCGGAGAGAUACCGAAAAUGGGAUUUUCGGUGGAUAUAAAUAUGUAUUUAUGAGAGAGUAUGUAUAUAAAAUGCUAGCUAGCCAUAUGUGUCUGUCCACCUUAAUGGCGUAGCAUGUAGCCGCAUUAUGGUGUGACGUGAGCGUUGGACGUAAGCGUAGUAGCCAUAUUUGAGUGUUUAAUUCAUAUAGGGGGUAUGGACACAUAUUUAUACACCCGUCUGUCCACCUUGAUGGCGUAGUGUAGCACCGCAUUAAGGCGUGACGUGAGCGUUGGACGCGAGCGUAGUAGCCCUAUAUAGACCCAUGAAUUUAUAUAGGGAGUAUGGACGAGUGUAAAUACAUACAUAUAUUAUAGAGUCUAAGAGGCUCGAUAUUUUAUGGGAUAAAAGUUUUAUCGCUUGCGGCAUGCAUUCGAUUUUUCCUUAGAAAUUAAUUUGGGGAAACAUAAAUAUUUUAUUUAUUAUUUUAUUUUUGUCCACUCACUCUAACGUUAUUAAAUGUUUUCCCCUGGGCCCUUCGUUUUAAAUUGCCCAGUCUGCAGAGUUCGGGUUGGAUCUAGUAGGAGACGAGGCAUAGUCACCCGCAUUUCUGCCAGUUUUCGCCAGUAGGUUACCUGUUCAACCUACUCGUGUUUUCUUGCUUCCGCUUGUGUUUAGUAGCUCUGAAUACUUUAGAAUUUUUGUAUAGUAUGCGAUGUUCAGAAGUGAUAAAUUAAGAGUGUAAUUUGAAAUUUUCGAGUUAGGGUUGUCCAUCUGCAAGGGAGAUUUUCUUAAUCUUUUCAGUAAAUUUUCCUUGGAGGUGGUCCCCGCACGACUUACUCUGGGUUUCAGGGUGAAAUUCGGGGUGGGUCGUGUCAUCGGAGCUAUUUUUAAUAAUAUUUGGAAGUUGGUAUUAUCCAGAAAUUUAUUAAAAAUAAUAUUCUAAGUCGGUUUAAUCUCAGCCGUUAGAUUGGGAAUACAUAUACGUUUGGGUUAGAUUGUAAAACAGAAGAACCGAGCUUGGACCGACUCGGUCUCGAGUUGCGAUUCCUCCUCCGUCGAGCGGCUGUCUCUCGACAUCCAACCGGUGGCCAGAGCUCCAUAUCGUCGUCCCCAACAUGACUGUGUUGUUAGAUUUCCAAAACAAGCUCGGAGAAGGGAGAAUCGAGUAGAAGAAGGAUUUCUGGGUUCGCCGGUGAUCUUCGGAUUCCGGCCACGGCGGUGAGCAUGAACGGUGCUGGUAGCUUUGCCUCAACUCCCUGAACAUCGUUGUGCUAUUGGUUUUUGAAUAGAAGCCUUGAGGAGGGAGAAUCGAACCUCAAAAGUUUUUAGGGUUUUCCGGUCGUGUUCUUCAUUUUCCGGCGAGCUUCAAGUAUCAAUUCAGGUAUCAAAGUUGGUCCAUUUGUCGAACUCUACCUGUUUAUAUGCUUGAAUUCGAGUUUGAUUAAGUUUUGGAGAAGUUGGUGUUUGGGCAGACGUCAGCCGCCGUGAGUACUGCUGUGUACGGCGAUGACAGGUGGUGGUUCUUGUAGUUUCUGGUUUUUCAUAGUAUACUGAUUGUGGAGGGAUGCUUUGAUAUGUAUUUGAAUGGCAGGAGAUUGAAAAUUGGAUGAAGUGGGUUUUGGGGCAGUGUUGUUCGGUGGCGAAAAUGAUGGUUGAUAGUUCUGGGUUUGGUUUAUGUUUUGGAUGAAAUUGCAGGACAUGAUGUUGGUGUUGUAUAUGCUUGAAGUCUAGAAAUGGAAGAGUUGGGAAGUAGAGGAUUCAAGUCGAAUUGUGUUGUUGGAAUGAAGAACAGUAGUGUUCUUCUAUUCAUUGAAGUGCUUGAAUUCAAGAGUUUGAAAGUUGAUAUCGGCAAAAUAGAACAUGGGUGUCCAUAGUAGAUUUGGAGUCAAGUUGGUACUUGGAGCGCAAUUUGGAUAUGAUGACGGCAUUGAGCGUAAAGGCGAAUAAGAAUGUGGAAAUAAAUUGAAAUGAGUACAUUUGAUUCGGAAAUCAUUGGAAAAGAAAAAGGAUUCGGUACGAGGAUCGAAUGCGAGUAGCUGGAUUGCAGAAGGAUAAGGAUUUCUGAAUGUGUGUUGCAAAGUUACUAAUUUUAGCUAGUGUCAGAAGUAGCACUUGGAUUCCAGGUAGGGUCUCUCUCGGGGAACUUUUCUUUAAAUCGGUAAUUAGAUUUUAAUUGAAAUGGGUGAUUUGUGUGUCAUUGAGUGAUUAACUCUUGGUUGUUACCAUUUUCGAUAAAAGUAUGUGAUAUCGUUGAAAUAUAUGAACGAUGUUUUCGCUUAUCAGAAAAGAAUGUAUUGAAUGUUAUGAUAUGAGUAUUGAUAUUUGUUGCAUACAUUUUGCAUUGUGAGAAAUUGUGAGAUUAGUGAGAAUGGUGAUUAUGGAGAUGUGAAUGAGAUUUGAUAGAAUGGAUACAUUUUGUGUAGUUGAGUUUCCUGAUGGGUUGUCCAAGAUCCAAGGUAGCCCACACGUGCACAAAUUCAGGGAAUGUAUGCCUUUCGAUGGCAGACAUCGACAAAACGAUCUUAUCGGGUUUCGGGUUUGGAGGCCAUGAGUAUAACAAGAUGACUAACAAAAGAGGUACAAGCGGUGAGAUAUUACUGAUUGUUAGAUCAUAUAUUCGAGACAUCUGAGUCACCCCCGGUUGGUAAAAUACACGGUAUGGGACGUGUAGGCUCACAUGUCUUUGAUGUAUGGACUGAAUGCCAGUAAUCGAGGAAGUCAUUCAUUAGCAUAAAUGCAUCAAAUUUUCGUUAUAUAUUUAAAGUAUUGUUUGAUUGUUUGAUAACUUGUUUGUGCGAAGUAGUUAAGAAUAACUUAAGAAGGUUAGGCCCUACUGAGCGUAAGCUCACCCCUAUAGAGUUUUUGUUCAGGUUUGUACGAGGACACAUGUUUCUAGAAGACUAACUGUGACGUUAGCUUAAGUGUACAAGAGACGAGAAGUACUGAAGAUUAGAAGCCUCAAGACCUAUUUUGUUUUUGUAAUUGGUUUUGUUAUUUGUAAACGUUUUAUUUUCUUUUAUUUCUGGAAAAGUAGUUGAAAUUUGUAUUAUUUUUUUUACUUUUCCCGCUCACGCCUCGGGUUCGGCGUCAGGUGCUUGGAAACCACUGACACCGGGUUCGGGGUGUGACACCACACGUAUAUACACCCAUCCUCUUCGGUCAUAAUGAGGAAAAAUUUGAUUAUGGCGUGACGUGAGCGUUAGAUGCAAGACUCGUAGCCUUGUAUGAAUUUCUAUUCUUCUACUUUGUUCAUAGAAUUCAUACAAGGAGUCUGACGAGUAUAAAUACAUACAUAUAUAUAUAUAUAUAUAUAUUUAUGUAUAGUUUAGCCUGAGAGGCUCCAUUUUAUUGAGUUUUGGAGACUGGCCGGAGGUAGUCAUGUAUUUGCCAGUUUGUAAGUAAAAAGCUUUGAGCUGUUGCAUGCAGCAUAAUUUCUAUGAAAAUUAAAUUGGGAAUGCAUAAAUAUUUUUAUUGAAUUCAUUUUUGUCUACUCACUUUAACGUUUGCAAAUGUUUUCCCCUGGGCCUUUAUUUUAAAAUGCCCAGUAUGCAGGUUAGCAUAGUUGAGGUCGAGCGUACAUGGAGAAGAGGCAUAAUCAAUAGUAUAGCUUUCGCUUAUUUUUAUAUUUCUAGUUCCUUUCCUCUCAAUUAGAGUUGCUCUGAACUGUGAUUGUUGGUUGUGGGAUUAUUCUUAUUAAAGUUAGUAAAUAAAUUGGGAGAUGUUGUGUCACACCCCGGUUCUUAAGUUAUUUUACGGUUAUUUACUUUGGUAUUAUUUUAGUCUUUUACCGUGUUGAAUAACCGUUUAUUACCUAAGGACCCUAAAGUUGACUUUCUUUUCCGUUUAGAAUUUGGAGAAACUUUCUUCAUGAAAGUUGUAGAGGACGUUAAUAUGAGUUCGUAGACAUGCUAAGUGUUAAAAUCGGAGUUAGCAUGAAAAAGUUAUUAUCUAAAAGAGUAAAUUUUUGAGGUGGUAAAAGAAGGUAUUUUUUUAGUGGGUAAAAUUUAUUGGGUUUAAGGGUUAUGGAUUGGCUGUGAGCAGCCCAUAUCCUCCUUCACUCUCUCUCUUUCUCCCUUCCCUCUUUUCCCCGAGCUCCCCGAGCCCCUCUCCGCCGGAAGCUCCCAGCCACCAGCUGCCAUCGUCCGGCCAGCGUUCGGCUGCUGCUCCAGCCCAGUUCGGACCCCCAUCUCCUCCUCUCCCUCCCCGGCCUAGCCCCCGAGCCUCUAACCCGCCGGAAGAGGAGAAAACCCGCCGGAGACGCCGGGAAGCAUUUCGCCGAAAAUCCCAUUUCCGGCCACCAAAACUUGCAAUUCUUAGCUCAUUUUGUAGCUCUCAUCAAGGUGAGUAUCCCCUCAAAAGGAAUAAAUCUUUCUCGUUGUGGUUACGGAGAAAUGUAUAAUUGAAGUUUUAGGGAUUUUUGAUGUUUUUAGUCGAUUACCCUAGUUAGCCUGAGAAUUGGACUAAGUGCUAGUUAGGAAAGUUGUUGUGCUUGAUAAGAGGAUUAUUCUGUUAAACUUUGGUAGAAAUUGGAGGUCGCCGGAAUCGGCCUCCGGCCGUCGCUGCCGGCCGAGCCGGCGCCGGCGCAGGAGCUGUUUGGGAGAUUUUAAUGUUUUUAGAUUUGGAAUAUUAAGGGGAGUUUAUUGAAGUGAGUUAUGGAAGUUUUGGAUAGGUUUGUGAAUUUCCGAAGUUUGGUAAUUUUGGCAGUUAAUUAAUAUAGAAUCCGGCCGUAGGAUUUAAGUCGUAUUUUGUGGGAAGUUGUUUUUACGGCUGCCGGUAUGUUCGGUGAAGUUUGAACCGUAUUGAGUUAAGAAUGGCGAAUUUGGGCAAUGAUGAGUGUGUGGGAGGCUCACGUUUAAUUUUGCCCAUUUUGUUCAAUUAUUGGAUUUUUGGUGGGAAAUUAAUUAUAUAUUUGGAACAGGACGAGAGGAGGCCCGAGCAGAGGAAGCCUCGGAGCGUCAUCAGGCUUAGGCCUAAGUUGUGAGUGGACCUUUAUUUUAAUUGAAAAGCAUGCGAUGAAUUAUCUGUUGAUCAUUUAUGUCUUUUCCUGAGAUUUAUUUAUUUCUCGGAUAUUUGGCAAUUUUCCUCCUUUGGAGAGAUCCCGAAAAUGAGAUUUUCGGUGGAUAUGUUUAUUGGAUGUUUAUGAUGAUAGUAUGUAUAUAUAAAUGCUAGCUAGCCAUACGUGUUUGAUCCGCCAUAAUGAGGUAAAAUACCAUUAUGGUGUGACGUGAGUGUUAGACACAAGCGUAGUAGCCCUAUAUGAAAAAUAUUUUCUUAUUUGGUUUAUUUAAGUUUUCAUAUAGGGAGUCCACACGUAUAUACACUCGUGCUUUUUCCGCCACACUGAGGUACAAUUCUAUUAUGGUGUGACGUGAGCCUUAGACGCAAGCGUAGUAGCCUUGUAUGAAUUUCUAUUUUUCUAAUUUGUUCUUAGAAUUCAUACAAGGAGUCUGACGAGUGUAAAUACAUACACUUAUAUAUGUUUAUAUAUACUUUAGCCUGAGAGGCUGUAUUUUAUUAAGUUUUGGAGACUAGCCGGUGCUGGUCGUGAAGUUGUCAGUUUUUGAGUUGAGCGCUUUUGAGUGAUUGCAUGCAGUAUUAUUUUAUUUGGAAAUUAAAUUGGGGAAGCAUAAAGAAAUACUUUUAUUUUAAUUUAUUUUUGUCUACUCACUCUAACUGUUCCACAUGUUUUCCCCUGGGCUCUUCGUUUUAAAUUGCCCAGUCUGCAGAGUUCGGGUUGGAUCUAGUAGGAGGCGAGGCAUAGUCACCCGCAUUUCCGCCCGUUUUCAUCAGUAGGUUACAUGUUUAACCUACUCGUGUUUUCUUGCUUCUGCUAGUGUCUAGUAGCUCUGAAUACUUUGGGAUUAUUGUAUUUUAUGUUUAGAAUUUCUGAAGGUUAAUUAUGUGAUGUUUGGACGUGUUGUAUUAAUAGUGUAUUUUGGAAUUUUCGAGUUAGGGUUGUCCAUUUUCAAGGGAGAUUUUAUCAAUCUUUUCAGUAAAUUUUCCUUGGAGGUGGUCCCCGCACGACUUACUCCGGGUUUCAGGGUGAAAUUCGGGGUGGGUCGUGUCAUGUUGUGAUGUGGGCAGCACGAAGGCUCUAGGAGUAGAAGGUUGUAGAUGGAUUUUUUUGAAGUGUAUGCAUGUAUUAUUAGGAAGGGUUGUCUAUUUUCAAGGGAGGUUAUACCGAAUUUUUUCGGUAAUAUUUUUUUUGGAGGUGGUCCCCGCAGGAUUUACUUCAGGUUUCAGGGUGAAAUUCAGGGUGGGUCUUGACACAGAAGCUGAAGAUACUAGGAGCUGAAAAUACUUACCUGUCUUCCGUACCGUCUCUCCCAAACAGGGCCAAACAAACUAGAUGGCAAAUCCACAACCCAACCUCUGCCGCUCAGAUUGGGCCUGACACGAAGUACGUUCUCGCCCAUCCAACGACACCGCCUCAAGGAUGUGUCGUCGAACUGGGCAUGCACUAUGAACAAGGGGCUGCUAGAUAGGGUUUUGAAGAGAAAAGUCUCUUUGUUUUAUCAAUUCUUGUUAAAAUUUGUAGCCCUGAUUUGAUGUCAACAGGUGAAAUCAAUCCUAAAAAUUAAUCAAAUAGUAAUUAAUCAGAGAUCUCCAAUGACCUAAUGUAUGGAUUUGUUACUAAGACAAUUGCGGUAACAAAAUUUGGGUACAAGGUUGGUUGUAACAGCUUGGAAACAGUCCCGCAUUGAUCAAAAAGAACAAAUUGUUUUUUUUAUGGAAGGGCCCUUACGACCAAUUUCAUUGAUCAAAAGCCAAAAUGGCGCGGAUACAUGCUUUCCCUUGCCAAACGUUUGGGAAAGUUAAUGACUUGACAUGGCAUGCUAGUACCAUUCAUUACAAAUUCCACUCACUUAAUUCGAUACAGAAAAGAAAAAAGUGAACCUAAUUAGACCAUGAAACAAAUCACAACAAUUAGGCACACACACAAAAUGCUUAGACUCCUAAAAAAGGAAUUAUUGUAAAUAGACAAGCUACAUACUUAGAAAAUGAGCUAAGGCAUGAACCCUAGCCCAAAUCUAGGCCCAAGCAACUCCAAAAUGGCCCAACCCAAAGCUCGAACAAGGGAGACCCAUGCCUGCAUCCACCACACCCUUUGCCGUCACUACUUCCCAAAGCAUCUUUGAAUCCUUCGUCCACGCCAUCGCCAUCCGAAACGAGUCAGAUCCACCAUGACCCUUACCACACAUGACAACAGCCAUGAUACCAUCAAUUUGCACCGAUCCAACAAGCUUCGCUGUCGACAAUAGAUAGCAAAAAAAUUCUGACGAAAACACGCCGUCGCAAUGCUCAGAUGAAAACAUGCCGCCGCAGGACUCAAAGCCAACAAGCCCCGAUCCCUUCGCUCAAAACUUCAAGCCAAAAAAACCAUGAAGAAACUACUUGGCAACUUGUAGAUCCCGUCCGACGGUCUCUACUCGGAGUCAUCAAAGCCCAAAGGCCAGCCUCUAACCGAGUUCGGCCACCGGAUGAGAUGGAGAUUUGGGUGUGGGAGUCGAGUGUCUUUCGGUUAUGUGUCUUGACCUAAUCGUUUCUUUAUUAUAAUAGAUUACAACAAAAUAACAAAAUGACAUGACAUGGACAAAGAAAAACGUGGUGUUAUAAGAAGUACAACACGAACAAUCAUAGAAAGUGCCAUAUAAGUUGAAGAAGCGGAGACACCAAUGCAAAGAGGAGUUAGCUACACUUCACUAGACUACAGAUUACAGAAUAAAUACAUAGAGCGAGGGAGUGUGUGAGGAAGAAAAGGGAUCAUGUUCCAUUGCCAGCCAAUCGUUCAUAAAUAUACGUCCCCCAUCUUUGUAAUUACCCAAAAAGCCCACUUCAAAGCUGGCACACCCAAACCUCAAAAACUUAAAUAAAAAAUAAUAAUAAUAAAAAGAAAAUAGAAACGGGAUGUUGUGGACUGUAGGAGCACUCUGCACUCCUAUUGAAGAAGCACCGCCCAAUUACUAAACUAGCAGCAUUUUUUCAGUCUUAGACCUAUUUUUGAAAGAUAAUAGUAAUUAAAAAUAAAUAGAAUAAUAGUUUUGGGAUUUGAGUAGUGCCCCCAGAUUAUGUAUUACAGAAAACAACCAAAUGGAGUGGCGCCCAUGUUCUAGUCAAUAUCAAAAUUCCCCACUUGGUCAAUCACCAAACCCCCGCUCUCUCUCCACUGCCCUACUCCCCUCGUCCCCUCACUAUCUUUAAGAUCAUAGCAAUCCCACAUCACAUAUCAACAUGCUUAACUGAUUUCUGAAAUUCUAGGGUUAUAAAAAAGUAACCCAACAUUUUUCUAUUUAACCCUUUCCCAAAAAAAUCAACUCUAAACUUUGAUUGAUCGUAACUUUAUCGUACGACAUCCGUUUUACGCGUGCCACAUGUCUACGAACUCGUAUCGCCGUGCUCUACAAAUUCCGUGAAAGAAGUUUCUUGAGAAACCCAAUGAAUAAAAAGUCAACUAAAAAGUCAACCAAAUAAAAUAAAUAAAUAAUAAUAGAAACUAGUAUCUAAAUUCCGGGGUAUUACAUGUACUCUUGGUUUACCUUAUGUGAUGUUGGGUUGAGUCCGUUAAUGUAGAUUUACUCAUACGACCUGUUAAAGCUUACCGGGUUUGUUGUUUAUAACCCGGUGCACUAAUUCAUGAUGUAGGGGUUAUACCUGCAAGUGAUGAUCAGCAGGGUUGAGGCGGAGGCAU
rnacentral:lncRNA from 1 species